rnacentral:rRNA from 1 species
AUUGAACGCUGGCGGCAUGCUUUACACAUGCAAGUCGAACGGUAACAGGCCUUCGGGCGCUGACGAGUGGCGAACGGGUGAGUAAUGCAUCGGAACGUGCCCAGUCGUGGGGGAUAACGCAGCGAAAGCUGUGCUAAUACCGCAUACGACCUAUGGAUGAAAGCGGGGGACCGUAAGGCCUCGCGCGAUUGGAGCGGCCGAAGUCAGAUUAGGUAGUUGGUGGGGUAAAGGCUCACCAAGCCAACGAUCUGUAGCUGGUUUGAGAGGACGACCAGCCACACUGGGACUGAGACACGGCCCAGACUCCUACGGGAGGCAGCAGUGGGGAAUUUUGGACAAUGGGCGCAAGCCUGAUCCAGCAAUGCCGCGUGCAGGAAGAAGGCCUUCGGGUUGUAAACUGCUUUUGUACGGAACGAAAAGGUCUGGGUUAAUACCCUGGGCUCAUGACGGUACCGUAAGAAUAAGCACCGGCUAACUACGUGACAGCAGCCGCAGUAACAC